AUGACGCUGGCGGCAGGCUUACACAUGCAAGUCGAGCGGAGAGAGGUAGCUUGCUACCGAUCUUAGCGGCGGACGGGUGAGUAAUGCUUAGGAAUCUGCCUAUUAGUGGGGGACAACAUUUCGAAAGGAAUGCUAAUACCGCAUACGUCCUACGGGAGAAAGCAGGGGAUCUUCGGACCUUGCGCUAAUAGAUGAGCCUAAGUCGGAUUAGCUAGUUGGUGGGGUAAAGGCCUACCAAGGCGACGAUCUGUAGCGGGUCUGAGAGGAUGAUCCGCCACACUGGGACUGAGACACGGCCCAGACUCCUACGGGAGGCAGCAGUGGGGAAUAUUGGACAAUGGGCGCAAGCCUGAUCCAGCCAUGCCGCGUGUGUGAAGAAGGCCUUAUGGUUGUAAAGCACUUUAAGCGAGGAGGAGGCUACUUUAGUUAAUACCUAGAGAUAGUGGACGUUACUCGCAGAAUAAGCACCGGCUAACUCUGUGCCAGCAGCCGCGGUAAUACAGAGGGUGCAAGCGUUAAUCGGAUUUACUGGGCGUAAAGCGCGCGUAGGCGGCUAAUUAAGUCAAAUGUGAAAUCCCCGAGCUUAACUUGGGAAUUGCAUUCGAUACUGGUUAGCUAGAGUGUGGGAGAGGAUGGUAGAAUUCCAGGUGUAGCGGUGAAAUGCGUAGAGAUCUGGAGGAAUACCGAUGGCGAAGGCAGCCAUCUGGCCUAACACUGACGCUGAGGUGCGAAAGCAUGGGGAGCAAACAGGAUUAGAUACCCUGGUAGUCCAUGCCGUAAACGAUGUCUACUAGCCGUUGGGGCCUUUGAGGCUUUAGUGGCGCAGCUAACGCGAUAAGUAGACCGCCUGGGGAGUACGGUCGCAAGACUAAAACUCAAAUGAAUUGACGGGGGCCCGCACAAGCGGUGGAGCAUGUGGUUUAAUUCGAUGCAACGCGAAGAACCUUACCUGGGCCUUGACAUAGUAAGAACUUUCCAGAGAUGGAUUGGUGCC
rnacentral:rRNA from 1 species